AGCAGGGACUAUAAACUUUUGAUAGAUUUUUGUCUUUCUUUCCUGAGGAAUCAUUAGAUUUUUCACCAGAGAAAGGUUUCCCAUGAUUGUUCGAUAACCCCUCAGACCACUUGACAUCCCUUCAUUUUUUUUUAAACUUCUUCUGAAUUACUUAACAAAUAGGGCAAAAUCAUCCUUUGAAAAUUGUUCACAUGUGUCACUUGUAACUUCGUUGUGCUCAACACUUUGAAGAGCGUCAUAUUUUCCCUUCUUAGAGACACCUUCAUCCAUGCCAGUCAACUAACUUUCCGAGCUUGAUCUCACUUAAAUCAUAGAACUCUUGGAUGGCAACCUUCUUUGCUUGGAAUCUUUUGGGAUCUUAAGAUCUUUUAAACAAUUGUUGUUUCACUGAUAUGUUUCCCCAAUCCCAAAGCUUCAUUCGUCAACAUUUCAACUUUCUCAUAAAAGGUUGAGAAGGUUUCAAACUCAAGCAUUCUUAAAUCCUUACACUUUGAGAGGGUCAUUUGGAGCUUUAAAUCCCUCACUUGUUUGUCACCUUUAUGAAGAAUUCUAAGUUUAUCCCAAGCUUGCUUGGCAGUUGUGCAAUAACGAAUAUAAGCAAACUGAGUUGGUGAUAUGAUAGAUACAAUGGCAUUUCUUGCUUUCUUAUUUGCCAUGGUAGAUGUCACUUCACUAGAAGUCAAUUCACUUUUAGGUUUGAUCACCAGUUCCCCAUCAACAGCUCUAGAUGGAGCCCUCUACUCAAGGGUAAGGUAAUCAACAACAAGAAAGUCAUGUGCCUCAAGAAAUAUUUGAAACUUCUCACUCCAAGCUGUAUAGUUCAUGCCAUCAAAGUAUGGAGGAGAGUUACAUGAUCUAACAACACGAUCACGAUCCAUGAUGAUAGUCCACCUAAUAUACUAGCAAAAUCACAGAGAUUACUCUAUGUAUGUCUAGAGCAAGGCUCUGAUACUAUUUAAAAUUGGUACCAGGUUUAUUACCCUACAAUAAAACUUAAAACCAAUUGUACUGACUAGCCAAAUGUACUAGUCAACUGAGUACAGAUUGUUAGACCCCCAAGCAUAUAAACCAAACAAACUUAAAAGGUUAACACUUAACAAUGUGAACUUCAGUUAAGUUUUAGUCUUCGUACUUGAGUUCAGUUCACUUGAUUAAUUAAGUGUCAAUACUAGCAAACCCUACAAUGUUUAACUCCAACAAGAGAUAUGAAUAAAGCUUUGUAAAGUAUUGAACACAUUGAAGUUUUUUGUCGGAAAAACCCACCUCUGGUGUGGAGCCAAAAAUAAUCGAGAAAAAUAUGAAGGCGACACAAGGAUUCUUGGGUUAAAAAGACAAAAUUAUCCUCAAGACACACCGGAACUCCUACGAGCAAGCAGUGGAUAAUCACAACUCAAUCAAGGUCAAAAGUGAUCAAAAUAGGUAUUUAAUCAAAACUUAUUUCAUCUAUCCUCAUCAAAUCCUCCCCAUAAGGUAACCUUCAAUUAUUCAUUCAAAAUAAGAUUAAUUACCUAAAUUAAUUGAUUAAUUUCCUAAUUAAUUGAUUUUCUAAUUAUUUUUUUGAUUGAUUGCAAGAUAUUAUUUUGACAUAAUAUCUU
rnacentral:lncRNA from 1 species